AGACAAUCUUGUCUCCUCCGCCCCUACCGCCACCGUACGCGCGCCGCCUCGUCGCGUCGCACGCUCUCUUCCACCCAAGGGCGCGGCUGGGACUAUCCCUCCGGCGCAAUGACGUCCUUUGGGAGUCGUCGUGGGAAACGUUAUGCUGCCGUGUCGGCAGCAGCGCGACGCGCUAAGGCUGUUCGGCGAAAUGCCGACCCGGUUGAUGUUUCUUGGCCAGCAGCCGCGCCCAUGGCCCCUUAAUCCGGUCGGGCAGGACAGCUUGUUGAUCAAGCUGAGGGCACGUUUUUUCCGUGUACGUGUAUGUGCUGUGGAGGGCGAAUCUGCGUGCUGCAAAAUAAGGAAAGAGAAGCUGGGCAUCCGGGAAAGAAGCAGUCGGUGAAGAUUUUGCGAAGAUCCAAAGGGCGAGAUAGCACGCCGGGAAGAUCGUACCGAAAGGCGCUUGCGAUCGAGGGCAAUCAUGGUGGUCUCGGUCAGUUGUGUAGACAAAGGGCAAGUGGAGGGCAGGAAGAAAGUGCAGUUUCCUGGCUUCCUGGCUUAAUGGACGGGGUGGGUGGUUGAUCCGUGCGGUCUCCUCCAUCCUCUUCUUGACCUGGGGCGUUUACUUGCUCCUGUCACGCGUGCGUGCGAGCUUCGUCUGAUGUUUACGUUUGCUCUUCUUUUUCUAUUCUCCUGGCUCCACUGGCGCACUAUUAUUGCGGACCGUGGACAGUGACGCUUUGUGACUGUCAUCUGAAUACUGAAACGGUUCAACUUGGGGUGCUGACAA